CUACGGGUGGCUGCAGUGAGGAAUAUUGCACAAUGGGGGGAACCCUGAUGCAGCAACGCCGCGUGGAGGAUGACGCAUUUCGGUGUGUAAACUCCUUUUAUAUGUCAAGAAAAUGACGGUAGCAUAUGAAUAAGCACCGGCUAACUCCGUGCCAGCAGCCGCGGUAAUACGAAGGGUGCAAGCGUUACUCGGAAUCACUGGGCGUAAAGGGCGCGGUAGGCGGGCUUGUAAGUCAGGUGUGAAAUCCUACAGCUUAACUGUAGAACUGCACUUGAAACUACGAGCCUAGAGUAUGGGAGGGGGAGAUGGAAUUAGUGGUGUAGGGGUAAAAUCCGUAGAUAUCACUAGGAAUACCUAAAGCGAAGGCGAUCUCCUGGAACAUAACUGACGCUAAGGCGUGAAAGCGUGGGGAGCAAACAGGAUUAGAUACCCCGGUAGUC
rnacentral:rRNA from 1 species